AUACUCUAAUCUGGAAAGUACUACUAAGGGGCACCCCUCUAUUUCAAACGCCCUGAGGGGCUCUGGGCUACCCCAACUGCAGACCUUCCUGCAUUUUCCUACCCUGCCCAGCCUCCUGCCACCCGGACUUUAGCCCAGGGACACCCGAGGUGGACUUCGACCCUACAGAGUAGGAGGCAAUAAUCUGUGCUGCUCUAAGUCACCAACUUUGGGGCGAUUUCUUACAGCAGCCACAGAAAACGGACACAGCUGGUCACCAAGAAAUAAACAACACGUCCAGCCCGGACUGCCUAUCAAGAAAGCUAUAAAAAUGAGUCAUCCGAUUACAGGGCCCCUCAAGGCAAGAAGAGAGGACAGAAAAUGCUGUUUCAUGAUGCUGAGGAAAGGCCAAAACCAUCAUUUCCAUCUAGAGGAUGGACUGGAUAACCAUGGACCCCCAGAAGCACCUGCCCACACAGUCCUCCGGUUAUAGAUCAGCAUUAACAAACUCAUCCUCUGGAGCACAUGUGUCCACUACGGGGGUCCAGUCUGUCCCCAACGCCACGGUGCCAUCUAAAACACACCAGACCAACAGUGAGUCCUCUGGUGCUUGGUCUGGGAGAUGAUGCCUUAGGAGAUGGGGAAAGGACUCUGACCAAUGCCUCCUGAGGGUGGGAGAGGACUGGAAAGGGCAGGGAACGCGGCCCCGUGUGCAGCUCUGUCCAGAAUGCUCAAUGAUAAGGGGUCAGGGGCCGCACUGGUGUGUGGCACAGGGCAGCCAUGAAGAGACAGAACAGGUCACCGAUUCCCUGGAGACGGAGGGAUACAGACAGGUAGCACGGAGGCUCGGCAGGGGCUCAACCACAUUCUAAAGAUACGUGAGAACCUGGGAGGUGUAGCAAAGACUAGCAGGCAGAUGGGAACGGAGACAGGGGAGACCUGGGUUGCAAAGCCUCUUUCUGUCUUCUUGUCUAUUUUCCUCUUCUUCCCUUUCUCCCAGGGGGAGAGGGCUGAGGACUGAGGGGGGCUUGGUCCAGGAGGCUUCACCGAGGGCAUCCUCGGUAGCGGGCUCCAAUCCUGAGGGCACGGGGUGGGAUGCCAGUUACAGGGGAAGCCCAGCAGGAAAAGGUCCAAGCUCAGACACGGAGCAGAGCACACGUGCCCCAGGAAUGUGGCAGGAGUCUGGGCACCAGAUCUGGGGUCCAAGAGCAGAGGGGGGGCAGCAUGCAGCAAGUCGGACUUGUCGCUGGUCACUUAAGCCACAAAAUUACAAUUAUUUCUUAUUCAGCUGGGCCUAGGACUAUAGAUACAUAGUAGCUGCUCAAUAAACGUUUUUCUGAAUAAAA